UGCGAAGGUGGCAAGCGUUACUCGGAAUUACUAGGCGUAAAGGGCAGGUAGGCGGUCUCGUUAGUCUGUUGUGAAAGCUCCUUGCUUAACGGGGAGAGGCCAACAGAUACUGCGAGGCUUGAGUAUAGGAGAGGGUACUGGAAUUCCCGGUGUAGCGGUGAAAUGCGCAGAGAUCGGGAGGAACACCAAUGGCGAAAGCAGGUACCUGGACUAUUACUGACGCUAAGCUGCGAAAGCUAGGGGAGCAAACAGG
rnacentral:rRNA from 1 species